rnacentral:rRNA from 1 species
GGAUUAGAUACCCCGGUAGUCCUGGCAGUAAACGGUGCACGUUUGGUGUGGGUGGGUUCAGACCCCAUCCGUGCCGGAGCUAACGCGUUAAACGUGCCGCCUGGGAAGUACGGUCGCAAGAUUAAAACUCAAAGAAAUUGACGGGGGCCCGCACAAGCGGUGGAGUAUGUGGCUUAAUUCGAUGCAACGCGAAGAACCUUACCUGGCCUUGACAUGCAUUGUGUCUCCGGUGAAAGCCGGAUAGUUGGUAGCAAUAUCAACGCUUUGCACAGGUGCUACAUGGCUGUCGUCAGCUCGUGUCGUG